UGGUUUUUAACGCCACAGUUAAUAAAGAAAGUUGAAAUAGGUUAUUGGGAGAACAUGUUAAAUCCUUUGUCUCUUAAGUUUUUACAACUUUUAUAUACAUCUCUCUCCCUCUGUUGGAUUGAAUUGACUUACUAGCUAAGAGGGGGUUUAUUGUUGUUGCCUUUUCAAAAAUUUAUUACAUUUGGUGCUGUUAUUUUAGCAAUAUCUUAUGUAGAUGCACCCUAAUUCUUGUCUUAGGGACAAAGUUUCACCUGGGGGCAUGGGUUUGAGAGAUCAAGGCAGCUGGUUUUGUUUCUUUACCUUCCUCGGAUUCUUAUUUUCGUUACUUGUUCAAUAUCUUGAAUUCUGUGGUCUGUCUUUCCAUUGAUGUCUUGCUUUAGUCCACAUUAUGUAGUGAUUAUCAGGAUUUUGAGCAGUUACUGCAGUUGCCUUGUUUGGUGAUUUUUUUUUCUCUUAUUUCUUUUUAAAAUUUUAUAUAAGUCUCUUCUCCCCCUCCCCCCCCCCCCCUCUCUCUCUCUCUCUCUCUCUCUCUCUCUCUCAAUAUCUCUGUAUUUCACCCCCUAAAUUGGUCAGGUAUUAUGUAUUUUACAGGUUCCUUCUGUUGGGUUUGAAUUGACUUACUACCUAAAAGGGGGUUUAAUGAUGUUGCUUUUUGUUUCCCAUUUCAAUUUUUCUAUACAUUUGGUGCUGUUAUUAUAGCAAAUAUCUCAUGUAGUUGCACCAUAAUUCUUAGGGACAAAGUUUCACCUAGGUGCACCAGUAUGAGAGCUCAAGGCUGCUGGUUUUGUUUGUUCACCUUCCUUGGUUUCUUAUUUUUGUUACUUGUUCAAUAUUGUGAAUUUUGUGGUCUGUUUUCUGUACGUAAGUCCACAUUACGUAGUGAUUAUCAAGAUGUUGAGCAGUUCCUGCAGUUCCCUUGUUUGGUGAUUUUUUUUGCAGGAAUUUGGUUUUAGAAGUUUACGCUCCAGUUAAACGAAAGUGGUAAUAGGUUAUUGGGAGAAUAUGUUGGCGUUUUGGUUUUUGAUGAAAUUGUUUCAUUCUUUACUCGUUCAAUGCCCUAAAUUAUGGGGCGAACAUGUUAAAUAUUUUAUCGUUUACCCCUAUGUCACCCCUAACUUAAUAUUAGGUAUGAUGUAUUUUUCAUGGUUCUUCUGUUGUGUUUGAAUUGACCUACUACCUGAGAGGGGGUUUAAUGCUAUUCCCUUUUGUUUUCCAUUUAAAAAAUUUAUACAUAUGGUCCUGUUAUUUUAGCAAAAUGUUAUGUUGAUGCACCCUAAUUCUUGUCUUAGGGACAAAGUUUCACCUGGGGGCACCGGUUUGAGAGCUCAAAGCCACUGGUUUUGUUUGUUCACCUUGUUUCUUACUUUUGUUAUUUGUUCAAUAUCGUUUCUGUGGUGUUGUUUUUCCGUUGGUGUCUUGUGCAGACUUGCUUUAGUCAGCAUUAUGGAAGUCUAUCAGGAUUUUGAGUAGUUACUGCACUUACCUUGUUUUGUGAAUUUUGCAUGAAUUUGAUUUUGAAGGUUUACGCUGCAGUCAAAUGAAAGAAGAAAUGGGUUAUUUGGUGAAUGUGUCGUCGUUUUGUUUUUGGUGAAAUUGUUUUAUUCUCUGCUCAUUUGAUGUCCUAAAUUAUUGGGAGAACAUGUUAAAUAUUUUUCUUUUAUUGUUUUAUUUUUUUAUAUUUUUUAUAUCAAGUAUAUAUCUCUCCCUCUAUCCCUUAAUUAAUAUUUGGUAUUAUGUAUUUUCAGGUUUCUUCUGGUGGGUUUGAAUAGAAAUGCUACCUAAGAGGAGGUUUAAUGUUGUUGCCUUUUGUUUUACAUUUCAAAAUUUUAUUACAUUUGGUGCUUGUUAUUUUAGCAAUAUCUUAUGUAGAUGCACCGUAAUUCUUGUCCUAGGGACAAAGUUUCAACUUGGUGCACGGAUUUGAGUGGAGUUCAAGGCCGCUGGUUUUUAUUCACCCUGCUUGGUUUCUUAUUUUUCCAUAGCUUUCUACUCUUUUGAUAUGGUUAUAUGCUUGCUCCUUUACUCUUUGUCAAAGCGAUUUUUUAAACCUCUAUUGAUACCCAGAAAAUCAUAAAUCCGUGUGUCUCUCUCCUUUUCCUUAUAAUCAUGAUAAGCAUUUUGCUCUUCUAUUGACAAAUACUAAAUUGUGAUUUAGUUCAAUAGUCUGCCUUCUGGUUAUGCAUCUUGUUUUCUUGGUAUGUUCUAAUCGGAUUUUAUGUCUUCAAUCUUGGCAUAUGGGGGAAUAUGUUCAAAAUCACCAUUAAUCUUUUUUUCUUGGUUCGAAGAUAUAAUGUUAUGAUGUUUUGAUUACAGAUGCUGAAUAUGUCUUACUUCCUUCUGUGCUGCCAUGUAUUUGUUCGAUAUAUGUUGCUUUAUGGUCUUUAAGCUAUUAGAUAAUUACCGCCAAACAGUGCUUUAGCUUUUAUGUUUCGUCUUUUCUUCCGUUGGUUUAUUUCUAAGGUUGUCAUUACUUAUAUUUGGUCUCCCAAAUUGUAUAGCAGUCUGGCUUGACAUUCUCUUUAUGAUGAUUCCCUAUUUUCGUGAUUAUGGAGAGGCAUUUAAAGUUUAUGACACUGUUGUGGGGAGCAGAUUCUGGUUUGGUUUCUUAACAAGAACAUGUCAAUUUCCUAUUUUUAAAUUCUCUCUUUCUCUCACUCAGGUAUCUUCAGUGGGGUUCUAAUUGGCAUACUAUUUAAGAGGGGGUUUAAUUCUUCUUUCCUUUUGUUUCCCAUCUUUAAGGAUUUAUAAGAUUUGGUGCGUUAUUUAGCAAUAUCUGAAGUAGAUGCAUCCUAAUUCUUGUCUUAGGGACAAAGUUUUCCUUGGGGCAUGGCAAUGAAUGGAGCUCAUGGCUGCUGGUUUUGUUUAUUCACCCUUCUUGCUUUCUUGUUUCUUUUACAUGUUCAAUAUCGGUGAAUUCUGUGGUUGUGUUUCCUUUGAUGUCUUAUGCAGAUGAAUCUGUUGCUUUAGUCUGGAGUAUCAGGAUUUUGAGUAGCUUCUGCAGUUGCCUUAUUGACCCUGUUUGCUUUCUUAUUUCUGUUACGUGUUCAAUAUCGUGAAUUCCGUGGUUGCCUUUCCCUUCGUGUCUUAUGCAGAUGCAUCUCUUGCUUUAGUCUGGAGUAUCAGGAUUUUGAGUAGCUUCUGCAAUUGUUCUGUUUGGUGAAAUUUUGCAGGAAUUUGGUUUUAAAGGUUUACGUUGCAGUUACUUCUUGGCUUAUAAUUUAAUUUCUUAUUUCUUUGAUGUCUGGAACCAUCUGUUUAUGCAGAUUGCAAAUCUUGUCUCUCUAUGGAAAUCUUGCCUAACUAUAAGAGGGGUCUUUUAUCCGAUCUUUUUUAUUCGUACCGUCUGUAUAAUGUGGGGCACAUUGUCUGAGCUAUAUUUCUGCCUGCAGGCGUAUCCUAACUCGUGUCUAUAUAUGGAGGUCUCACUUUCUCGAACGAGUUUUAAGAAGGGGUUUGAGUAGUUUUUGGCUUAUGAUUUUGUUUCUUAUUUCUUGGUGUUUAUGAGGUAUGGAACCAUUAUUUGAGCACUCUUUUAUGCAGAUGCAUCCUAAUGUUUGUCGGUUGCUGGAGUCUCACACUGUUGAAAGAAAAAAAGGGGUUUUCUGAGUUAUUAUCUGAUUUUAUAUUCUUGGAGCCCGUAUGACAUCCUAAGACAGGUUUUAAGCAAUGUCUUUAUAAGCAGACCAUUACAAUUGUCUUCUUGUGGGGUCUGAUUCCUUGAAGUAGAACGAGCGGCCUUUAAGAAAGGGUUUGAGUGGUUCUCUGCUUAUGAUUUAACUUCUUACACGAGCCAUUAUUUGAGUAAUGUUAUCUUUUAGAGUUUGAUGCAUCUUGUGUAUUGGUGAAGAUUUUAUAAGAUCUGGUACCAUUGUUCGAGCAAUAUUCUAUGCAAAUGCAAUUUAACUCGCCCGUGUAUGGAGUUUUACUUUGUUUAAGGACAGCAGGGAGGCUACCAACAGUGAAUUUCUUCGCCCUGUUAUUUGAUUUCCUGGUCUUAAGAAACCCCCGCCCUAUAUGCAACACAUACUAACUCUUGUCUUGUACAUGCAGUCCAACAUUGUUGACAGAGAAGAGCUUCUUCCCGGGGGGGUUUCUUAUCUUAUUAUCUAUUAUCUAUUUCUGGAUUUAGAGAUCUUGGGCCAUGAUUUGCACCAUUACUUUCCAUUCUAUGGGGUCCAACUUUGUUGAAGGAAAUCGCUUUUAAGAGGGAGUUGAGUAGUAUGGCCUUAUGAUUUAAUUUCUUCUUGGGUUUAUGAGAUUCGACACUUUAAUUGGGCGUUCUUUUGUGCAGAUGCAUCGUAGCUCUGCUCUGUUUCUGGAUCUUUUUUCCUCACAUGUUGGGCUUUGUUGAUUUUUGUGUUGUGCUUUAAUGUCUCAGUUUUAAAGGAGUUAUGAGAUGCAUCCUUGUUCUUGUGUGCGAAAGAGAGUAACUUAAUUCAUGACUGGACUCCUUUCUUAAGGAGGUUACGCUGCGUCAUAUCUUUGUUGUGGAUCUCUUUUUCGAGGAGGGUUUCAGGAGUUCAAUUUCAAGUUAAUGUUAAUGGCGAAACCUCAGGAGCAGGUGUCAUGCCGAGUUUUGUUUUCCGUUAUGUAUUUUAUUCAGUAUCCUGAACCUUUGAACCUUUGGGCUAUUAUUCAGUCAUUGUCUCAUGCAGAUGCUCGUUGUUCCAAGUCUUAUUAGAGUUGAGUUGAUGAGGAUGAUCUUUCGAGUGACAAUCAGAACUUGUGGCACGGUGCCUGGUUUUACAUAUUUGCCUUCUUGUUUUCUUGAUACAUUUCUUUUCGAAUGGUUAUAUGUUAUGGUGUUGUCAGUGUUUUUUGCGGUAGUUCAUGGAUUUUCCUGUGCGGAAGUUUUGUAGCUCAGAGUCUUGGAUCUGCAUUGAUUCCUUGAGAAACACACUCCACAUUUGGUUUCUUAUUCAUUUGUCUUCUUUCAUGGGGUUUAUCCUUCCUGGCUUGAUAGUUCAACAUAUUCUUAUGGUGAUGGGUUCAUUCUUUUCUUUCAACUUAAUUAUAUUCUCUCAAACUUUACUUUUAUUUCUGUUUUUUAAAAGAUAACUUAUUACAGAUUUUGAAUUUCGUGUAGGGGCCUCAAGAUCCUUAAUCUUUUUUGACUCUGCGCCUCUCCCAUUCAUUUCUAUAUUGUGCUGGUCUUUAAUUAAUUCACACAUUUUAAGGUUUGGCAGAUGCUCGUCUUUAUUGGUAUUGCUGUUUUUGUCUGUUCAAAUGUCUGUUUUGUCUGGUUGAAGGUGGAUUCAAUGCAGUAUGUGCAGCUUUGUGCAAUACUUUGGCCAUUCGGGGUUGGAUAUUCUUUGGUGCUUCUCUUUUUUUUUUCUUCUAUUCUUUGCCCUUUUCAGAAGGGCACUUGUUAAGAUAUUUGGUCGUUCAUUUGAUAUUUUAUUGAUGGGUGGAUAUAAUCUGGCACCACCAUUUGAUCUGAUGCAAUGUGUUUGCAGUUGCAUCCAAACUUGUCUUUUACUGGAGUUGCACUUUGUCAGAGCCUAGAACAUCUCUUUUAAGAGGUGGUUUUAUGUUUCUUUGCUUGCGAUUUAGUUCUCUGUAGACCAUAAAUGUGGCAUUUUUGAGCAAAUGUAUUAUGCAAAUUCAUUUCGCAUCAAGUAAAUGGAAUGGGUAUUCAAGCAAACCAACGGAAUCAUGGAUUUGGGCAUGUGCGACGGUCAAGAGGAAUGGGAGUUGCCUUUGUUGAGUGUACGUCUUUCCUUUUGGUCUCAUCUUCAUUAGAAUGUGGACUGCUUUUAGUAGUGUCCACUCUUGGCUUAACUUUCUUCUUGGAUAUUCAGUCUGUAUAUUGUCAGCUUGCUCUUGAGGCCUGGGAGAAUGGGGAUGCUCUUAAGAGGUGUCUGGUACUUCCUGGCUUAUGGUUUAUUUUUGUCAGAUUUUAUCAUAUAUGAUUCAAGCAAAGAGUUCUGUGCAGCAACUUUUGUCUCUUAAUGGAGUCCUAGGGUUUAUAGGAGGAGGGCAGGCUGCUGAUUGUUUUAAGAGGGAGUAGGAAUGUGGUAUGCAGAUUGAUGUCUUUGGAUGCAGUGAAGUAUCAUUGGACUGUAGAGCAGCACUUGCUGACACAUAAACUGAGUAUGACUUUGAUCUUCGUUGAUGGAACUGUUCUUUGAGGGGUCGUGAGAUUUGAUUUUGUCGUUUACAUAGUAUCUUAUUUCCAAUUUGUAUCGAAGUUUUAUUCAUUGAUCUCGUUUUAGCCGAGGUUUUCUCAUGUUCAAGUUAACGGGAUUGAUUUGUCAGCUGAAAUGGAUAGGAUGACUUGCUUUCAUUGUCUUUGGAUUUCAGCGUUUCGAUCUUAAUUAGCUUAGCUUCUAUGCCUUGCUCGAUUUUUCCAGAAUAUGGCCUGAGGGUUUAUCUUUUCCUUUGAUUUGAUUGCUUCUCUCAAAGUCUCCUUUCAUAUAUAUAUAUAUAUAUAUAUAUAUAUAUAUAUAUAUAUAUAUUUUUCUGAGUACAGAUGCUAAUAUUUGCAUAUACCUUUUCGGGUUUUAUAGGGUUGGAGGUGGUGGUUUGUGGUCUGCUAAAGGGUUUGGAUUUUGUCUUAAACAUAGUGACCUGUUGGCAUUUUUGGGUGCAAGUGCUGGUUUGCUUUUGCUGGUUCUUUUGUUGUGGCAUAUUACUCUUUUUUUUUCCUGGCAGGCUAAAGUUGCUUAAGUUCGUGAUGGGUCAGUAUGUUGGAUAUUUGAAAUUUCUGGGCAGAGUAGUCCAUUGUAGAAGGUUGGGUUUUUUUCCUGCUGAUCCGUUUAGGUUACACGUGGGGUUGUUUGACAAGUAAACGAUCUGGCAUAAUUAUAUGGGUCGUGUUUUAUGCAGAAGCAGUCUCAUUCUUUGAGGGCUCCGUCUCAGAUUCAAGUUUAUGCACAGAACUGAUAGAACUGUUUUUUUAAACUGCUGAUGGAAAUAGAUGUGGUAUGAAGUGUGGUGUUUCCCUUACCUGUCUUCUUAGUUCCGUCAGCUGAUAGUCAAUACUUUUUUGUAUAACUGUUCCUUUAAAUAGCUUUUGUGUUCAUUUGGGUGGCUUGAUAGGAUCUGUCAUUCUUUUCUUCAUUUGGUGGUGCUUAUGCGUAGUCCAACUUAUUGAACAUUGCAAUCUGACACUCUUUCUAUGAUCAAUUUGACACUUUUAAAGCAUUUGAGUAUUAAUUAAGUAGUUAUUUGUUGGUAUCAAAUUACACAUUUGGAACUUUGGUGUGUUUUUCAUAUUUAUGCCCUUAUUAGUUGCUGGGUGUGUCUCUUUUAUUGGUUCAAUAAUGCUGUGGUCAAGCGUCAUUCGACUAUUCCCAGCUGCUUGCCGAUACAGGUCCUUCUUUAAGAACUGAUGUGAGUGUGAGUCUUGCUUUUAUGUAUGCAUAGCUUAUUUCGGAUCCUGCGAAAACCUUCAAUAUAACAAUGAACAAAUAUGCUUUAGCUGGAUUUUAAGCUCGUGAAGUGUGGAAGGGAUGAUAGGGAUGAGGUCCUCUGAGAGAUUGCAUUAAAUGUAAUUCUUAUCUCCAAUUUAUGACUAAGUAAUGAACUUACAAAGAGAACAUAUUAUGUAUUGAAAGAAUGUAGUCCUGGUUUAUCAUUUUGGAAUGAGCCCUUUACGUAGAUUGCUUAUUAUGGGAGGAAGAGAAUUUUUUUCUUGCUUUCGUUAAAGGAGAUUUCUGAACUAUGCGACAUUUCUUUUGAAGUAAUUUUUCUCUUUGGAUAUUCGAAAGUAUAUUUGUUAGACAUUUUGUUAAGUUGUUUAUCAAUUGUAUAAAGUCAACUUCUUGGUAGCUUUUUCUCUUUUAGAUUUGUUUGGCUUUUAGUAUGAUGGUUAUGUGCAUUGCUUUGUUUUUAGCAGCUGUCUGUUGUGUGUAUUUGUGUUUAGUUAGUUAGGUUUAAAGGGAUGUAGCUCAAAAUGGUAGAGCUCUCAGCUUGUAACCAAUGUGAACAAGUUACAAGACUUACGAGAAGAUCAAGGUUCGAAUCCUUGCUUCCCUGCACAUUAACAUAUUUGAUAGUUGCUGUUGAUGUGCGGAUGCUGUUGGUAGCUGACUAAAAUGGUGGUCUGGAUGAUCUGUUAGCUUAAGAACCUGAAUUGGCUGAUUUUCCGGUUUACCACAAGAUGUGGUUUAUUAUGUAAAAGCUUCAGGAAGCUCGAGUUUUAAGCCAACCUCUGCUGCUCUAAUUUGUGCUUCUCAUUUAUUCAUUUCAUACACUUUCUAACGUACAUGUUCACAUUUCUAUCAUUUCAAUUUCUGGCAAUCGAAAAUUUCAAUGUUUGGAUUUAUGUAUGUUGAAUUUUCUAAACGACCGAAUUUUGUAAAUGGCAUUGUGGAAAUUGUGAAAUGAUGCUUAUUUUGAUGGAAAUUAAACUCGGGAUUUAGAUGUCUCAUUUUUACGAUUUUUUUUGCGUGUCAUUUAAUAAAUUCCGUGCUUAAGUUGACAAGGGAAUUGUCAAUUUCUCCACUUAAAUUUUUGACUUUUACUCAAAUUUUCAAUCUAAUAAAAA
rnacentral:lncRNA from 1 species